AUAAGAGGGGAGGAAGAAAACAUAUAUACAUAUUUGCUUGUAAAUGCAUAAAUAUCUCUGGAAGGAUACACAAGAAACUGGUGACCUUGGCUGACUCUGAAGCAAACUAGGUGUCCAGGGAGAAUAGUAGAAAGAGACUUUUCACUGAAUACCCUUUUGUGUCUUUUACACUUUGAACCAUACACAUGUAUGUACUACCUUUGCAAAAAUAAUAAUUGAAUUUUAUUUUAUUAUUAUUAAAAUUAGUUCUAGACCAGUAUUGAUAAGUAGGAACAAAAUAGAAAAUCUUAUAACAAAUAAGACAAAGGGCUAGAAUAUUUCAGUUACAGUGAUGGGCUAUGAACCGGGUCAGGACUAGCCAGUUAAAAGAGUCACUACAUUUGGUCAUUUGCUGUAAAGAAAGCUGAAAUCAAAUCUGUGCUUUGGUAAAGCCAUUACAUAACCUACAUUUGGAUUAAUUCCAGUUCCUAAUCAUUGUUUCUUCUUGCAGUGAGGCCCAGAAGUAAUUCAGGCAGAAUAAUGAAUAGAAAUUUCGUAGUUUUCCUGAAUAAUAGUAGUUGAGUGCCUAUAUAUCAGAAAGUGUUUGCAUUAUUUAUCCAUCAUUUAACAAGUCCCUUUUUAAGCUCUGCUCCCUGCAUCUCACAGUGCUAGGUGCUUCAGGGUAGGUAGCAUGGGAUCAGCCUCUGGUAUCAGACCCAAGUUCAAGUCCAGUUCAGACUUAUACUACUUGCAGGAUUUGUUUCCCUUGUUUUUUGUUUGUUUGUCCAUUUGUUUGGGGGAUGUUUAGUUUUAUUUAUUUAUUUAUUUAUUUGCCAGGGUCUUGCUCUGUUGUUGCCCAGGCUGAAUGCAGUGGCAGCAAUCGUGGCUCACUGCAGCCUCCAACUCCUGGGCUCAAGUGAUCUUCCCACCUCUGCCUCUUGAGUAGCUGGGACUACAGGCACAUGGCCACCUGCCACCAUGCCUGGCUCUUUCUUUCUUUUCUUUCUUUCUUUUUUUUUGUAGAGUCACAGUCUCCUAUGUUGUCCACACUGGUGUCAAACUCCUAGUCUCAAGCGAUCCUCUGGCUUCAGUCUCCCAAAGUGCUAGGAUUACAGGAGAAGAAAUUUAGUGCCUCGUUGCUCACCAUCACCACUGGCCUUGGUAGCUCUGCGGAUAAACCAGCUUGGAUUUCACCCUUGAGGAUUAACACUGCAACACUGCAUAGGCACAUAAAGCCACCUGAAAGUCAAGAUGAGGCAGGUUGCAGCGAUGGCAGGGAGCCAAUGUUGAUUUCUGAUAUGGGAGGAUGAUGAUCAGAGCAGGUCAUCUGAAAGAUUAACUUGGCAGAAGUUUGAAGAUUGAAGAAAGGUAGUGGAGUGAGAAGGCCAAUUCUGACACUACAUCAGCAGUCCAAAUAGGAGAUGAUAAUGAGGGAAAGGUGAGUGGGAAGGGCAAGGAAAAGACAGCUGUGGGGAAUUCAAUAAACGCUGAAUUAGUGGCUUGGUGGUGAGGGAAGGAUGAAGAAGAGUUAGAAGAAUCAGAAUUGACUGAAAAUUUGUACCCAAAACACCAGUGUAGAUGAGGAAAAUGAUAUGGUGACAGUAAU